UGAUUUAUUUUGCUGCCCAAAGGAGACAUGGAAUUUUAACUUUCCUAGCUAAUGUAAUUUAAAGAACGAAGAGUCUACUACACGAUAAUGUUUACUUAAUGCUGACCUCAGGGCUACAGGAAGUCAGCUACGAAAGAGGAGUUACAUUAGGCGUAGAUAUUUAUAAACCAGCUUGCAGCUAGUGACCCAGGAUUCAAUUACAACAUCAACCGUCAUAUUUCAGCAUAUGGGAAAAUCACCAGUGAAGUCAAGAAUAAAUUCAUUCUGCCCUACUGGCGCUCUAGAUCCGGUUGCACAAUCGCGGGGCGGCAGAACUCGCGUCCCCUGGCCCUGAAGCAUCAGGUACCAAGACGGGACACUACAGCUCGUGUCUCGGCAACAGUCUGGAGCGAAAGGGAAACUCAAGGGUCGCCUAAAACAGUUCAGCCAGCUCACACUUCAAACUCAGGAAUGUGUCACGUCACUUGUGAAACCGGGGCGAAAAAAGUUUUUUUGACCCCUUUGAGAUCGCUCCGCUAGCUCACAAACAUCAGGCUUCUAUGACUAUCACUGCAAAAGAGGGAGUCCAACUCUGGGCUCUGGGGGAAAAUUAAAAAAAAGAAAAAAAGAAACGACUUGGUGCGGAAACCGUGUCUUUCCCGCCCACCGUGGGGGGCGUCACGGGCCAGGUCCGGCGAGGAACCCGGGCGCGAGUUCGGGGGCGCAACAGGGCCCGCGGGGGCGGCGAGCGCGCGUCCCCCCGCCCGCCCGGGCGGCGCUGAGGCAGAAGCAGCCCAGCAGCCUCGCAGACGGAGCUCGCGGCGGCGGCGCCGGGGUCCCCGUGCCCGCAGCCGCAGCCGCAGCCGCGCCGCCCGCGCCACUUCGGCGGAGACCCAGACGGAGACCCGCGGCGGCCGCGGCGACGCGCGGACGGGGAGCGAGCGCCCGGCAGCCGAGCGGCGGGAGACGCUCGCACCGCGGCCGGCUUUGAAUACAUGAGGAAGAAGAGUGGAAGACACUGGGAACGGUAACGUUGGAAGAGGACAAGAAGAGGAAUAUGGAGACUCCACUCCAAUAGCCACCAGCACAAUAAAAUCUUAUAUUCCAAGACA